ACUCAACAAAUCAUAAAUUUCUCUAGAGAUAUGUUUUCGAGAUGUUUCGAAAAAGUAUAAUUAGCUUUUUUUUUGACUUUCUUGUUGGCCAUAGCGCGCAUUAUGCGUUUGUAGAUGCAUAUAUAAGGAAGAUGUAGAAUAUGUGGCGCAUCGAGUUACUGGAACCAGUGCGGAACCAGUCAGGCCAGAGCUGAUCCUAAGCGGAUCACGUUAGUGUAAAAUAAACACCCUUACUUUAAAUACUUGUAAAAAAAACUAAAUUAAACAACUAAGCUAUAAAUAAAAGUUUAUAUUACAUUUUAAUAUUCUAGUUAAAAUUGUAAUUAUUAAAUAUACACAAUUUUAUAUUCUUCAAAUCAAAAUAUUUCUGCGUUACAAUGUUUCUUAAAAUUAGCUUAAUGCUGCUUUGUAAUCUUGCAUAAAAAUAUGGCGAACGAGCCCAUUCAGACUGAAAUUCAACGUUUAAAUCAUUAAUGAUUUUUGCUAAAUAUAUCAAUAUAAGUAUCGAUAACUAAUAUUAGGAGUGCAUUAACAUUAACAUCUGCACUGCACACAAUUAUGUAAAACAACAUUUAAUAUAUGUACAUGUAUAGUCGCGAAUAAAUAGUCAAAGCACGGUGUGUUUUAUUUUACGCUUCCGCCAAGACUUUCCUGACGAACCAAUUCGUCCAAUAAUUUUAAAAUGUAGCUUAAAAAUAAUAAGUAAAUUUUAAGCUCUGGCUUGGCCAUGAAUUGACCAAUCUCUUUUGGCCUAAUGUUUAUUAACUUUCAAUACCUGGGACAAGAAAAAGAGCUGCUCAGAAUUCGCAAAAUAACCUCUAAAGAUAACCAACGUGUCAUGGCUACUCCUAAAAUUGUAUGGGGCUUAAUAUUACAAUAUUCUUGAAAUUCUUUUAAUUCCAGUGUUCUUUUUGGAGUAAACGAAAAGUAUGAAUAUAUUUUACGGCACAGCAUUUCAAUUUCGGACGUUAAUUUUUGACAGGCGUAUCCUAAGCAAAGGUAUAGUAGCUACCAUGAGAGGAGCAAAAGACCGUAUUCCAAAUACCAGGAGUCGAUCUGGAACAACACCAGUGUAUCCGAGAAUACAGGGGCCAUCGUAUCAAGACAAGACGAUCAAUCAUCUACGUCUUCUUCAUCAGAAAACGUCCUUUCAGAUCAAGGAGAGCAAAAUGUUAAUCAACUUGAUGUUCUAUCAUCACUGAAGAUACCUGACGCAAUUCGUUUUUUACCUGUAUACGAUGGUAAUCGAAAAGCUUUACAUGAAUUUAUAACCAAUGUGGAAGAAAUCCUAGCACUGAUUAGCGGCACUUGUAAAACGCCAUAUGGUCAGCUACUUCUAAGAUCGAUUCGAAAUAAAAUCGAAGGAAAGGCUAGCGAAGGCAUCAUCAAAUCUGGAGCCAGUCUUAAUUGGGAAGAAAUUAAGGACGCCCUCUAUUUUGGUAUAUACAAUAAUAACUAUAAUAGUUGUAAUUUUUGAAAAUUUGGUUGCGAUCAGAUAAAAUUUGUCGAAGUUAUUAAAGAAAUACUUUUGUAUUCGCAAAACCCUCACUUCCUGGGGGUCUUAGUUGGCGAUCUGGUAUAGCAAUCUGGACUGUAGUUUUCUUACAUGUUACUUAAGUGUUUUUAAAUAGGACAA